CAUGAAAAGAGACACAUUACAUAAAAAAAUAAAGUGUAGUGAAUCAUAUUUAAAGUAGUAUACACAAAUAUGUAGCAAAUGUUGCUUCUUGCAGAAACCACUUCUAUAUACCUUUCCAGUGGGAUGUCUACAUGCAUUGACAUAUUAUCUAUCUCUAUGCAAGAAAUCUACAUAUGAACAUCCACAUUUACAUUAAGACACAGGAUGUUACAAAUAUGACAUGAUCCAGUAAAUAGAGAAGCAGGGGCUGAAGCACCUUGAUCCAGGCUGUGAUAGGUCUUGAGAUGCCUGCUGUCCCUGCAGCCUCCAUACUUGCCAAGAACACCCCUGCCUGUGGACACAAACACCAACUUUCUAACUGCCACUGAUGCUGCUGCUGCCGUCACUACUUCCAGCUCUUUUACAGUGAAGCUUGGUGUGUUGCUGGAGAAGAUCUCACCAUUCAGUGUGAGGGUGAACUGGUCAGCCUGGCCUGUUGUCAUGCCUGUGGUCAGGGUGAGGGGAGUGCCAGCCCUGAACACUCCCCCUUCACCCUCCCCGCCACC